rnacentral:rRNA from 1 species
GACGAACGCUGGCGGCGUGCCUAAUACAUGCAAGUCGAGCGAACCCGGGGUGCUUGCACCCUGAGGGUUAGCGGCGGACGGGUGAGUAACACGUGGGGAACCUGCCUUGCUGUCUGGGAUAACACCGGGGAACCGGUGCUAAUACCGGAUGUCCCCUUUCCGGCACCUGCCGGAGAGGGAAAAGGCGGCUUUGAGCCGCCGCAGCAAGAGGGGCCCGCGGCGCAUUAGUUAGUUGGCAGGGUAACGGCCUCCCAAGGCGACGAUGCGUAGCCGACCUGAGAGGGUGAUCGGCCACACUGGGACUGAGACACGGCCCAGACUCCUACGGGAGGCAGCAGUAGGGAAUCAUCCGCAAUGGACGAAAGUCUGACGGUGCAGCGCCGCGUGAGUGAUGAAGGUUUUCGGAUCGUAAAGCUCUGUUGUGAGGGACGAAUAGGAUGGGGAGGAAAUGCCCGAUCUGUGACGGUACCUCACCAGAAAGCCCCGGCUAACUACGUGCCAGCCGCCGCAGUAA